CCAGACUGCGCGGAUGCGCAGGCUGGUCUGGAUCCAUGCUGGUCGCACACCCACUAUGUUGGUUUUCCCAUGGCAUGGCUCAUAUUACUUUUUUAAAUAAAUGCGUUUCAUUUUCCUCAGUUGUUUAUUUCAUUACCCUUACUAUCUAGACUAAAUGUCAUGUAGUUCGCAAGUUAAGGAGUAUGUGUCUUCAUAUGUAAAACAGCAGAGGCAAGGUUUUGACUUGAACGAAUUUCUUCUUUGACUAAUUCAAGGGCCAUGACCCCAGACAACUUAACUAUUCGGCUGUUUAUCGAACUUAGCCAACUUGUUGCACAUUGGAUAGGAACUACUCACAGCGAGAGCGGACAUUGUCAAUUUCGCAAGUUUAAGUAAUUCAUGAAUUAUAUCUCAAGGGAGAUUGAGACUAUCCGACUGGUUUUCGAAAUUGUUCGAGUUGUUAUAUGCAGUGUAGUUAUACCCAUACUCAUUAUGACUAAGAUUGGUGAACACUAGGUAAAAACUUUUUUUAAAAUCAGAGAACGGACACUGUCAAUUUUCGCAAUUUUUAGUAAUUUAAGGACUGUAACUCCACAGCCAUUCAUGAUAUUUUUGUAGUUAACGAAACUGGCGGACAUAUUAUACCAAUACGCAUUAUUAUAUGUUCUAAAAAUAGCUUAAAUUUCAUUGGCCGAAAUCGCUCAUCAUCUUACAAUAUAUAUAUAAUGUUUAAUGGUUGAUGGGUUUCCCAAUUAAACAUAUCUUUCUAAAAAUAGAAUGGAAGAAUGGUGUUACUCCUGCCAAUGAUAACUGGUCAAAAUGCUCCGGUUACAAUCAACUGCAAUAUAUUUCAGCGAUAAGAAACUGCAUACACAAUGAUUCCAGGAAUUUUUAGUGUCUUCAUUUGAACUUUAAUAGGUUUUUACACAGUUAUUAUUACUUUCAAACAACAAAUAUUUGGUACUUAUUCAUAAACCUGAACCCAUAUAAUAAAACAGUUCAAGCCGUCGUCCAUCCUCCCUGUCAUAUGUCCAGUUUUACAGUUGUAUAAAAAGAAUGGCAAAUGAUCAUUUAUAGGAAAUUAUCAGAAGAUUUACUAAGUGCAGAUGCUGUUGUUUUUACUGUUGAAAAGCAGUUUUGACACUUACAAAGACCUAAAGUGAAUAUAGUUUCAUGUUAUAAAUCGAAAUUUUCAACCAAGUUUCUUCCGUACUUUAAUCAGUCUAAGACAUAAAAACUAUAUUAUAAUGUCAAAAGAAAUCUGCCAGUUUGGCAAAUCUACGACAUUCGAUUAUUUUUGACAUUGAAAGGUUUUAUAACAAACAUUUUUAAUACUGUUUGCUAAAACCCAAAUUCAGAUAUUGCAGGAUAAGUAACUCGAGUCGAACGGUAAGUGGUCACUUUUCCUGAGAACGACUGGUGGAUUGUCACUGAUGUGCCUUUUAAAUCAUUACACAAGGACGACACACACACUUUUCUAGCUAAUAAACCACCUUGGAAAUGAACGGUGACAAGGUAAGUCAUGCAACUUAUAUUCAACCUUUAUAUUGUGUAGAGGCAUUAAUGUGUUGUUUCGAAACAGUGGCACGGGGUGAUGCAGAGCAGUGCUAAAAUCGUUUUAUGAACUAAUGAAUUUGUUUAUCGGUGAUGGAACUCAGGUAGGGUUAUCAUAACAGUACCUUGAUCUGCAAUGUUGUAUUCGGCUCUCGUUGAUUUUACCUCCAGGCGCUUUUGCCUACUGAGAUCCGGCCUGGUGAAAUCCACGAGAGCGGAAUGCAUCACUGCAAACUAAGCUACUGUUUAAUGACCCUUUUGUUAUACACAUAUACCUAUUUCUAGUGUUAUCUGAGCCGAAACUGAUAAUUUUAGAUUGAUAAGACCGAAAACUCGUUUGAAACAUGGAACGUCGAGACGCCAUCAUUACGUCAUUUCCGAUUUAAAAAAAUCCAGAACCGAUAGGAGUUGAUGAAUACAGGGUUUUGUAUUCGUUAGUAUAAUACAUGCUAUAUUUGAGACAGAAAAUUCAUAGGUUUAUAAUAAGAACAUCUAUCAAAUUCGAAUGGUUAUAUUUCAUAUGCAUAUUUCAAUUUUUUAAUGUAAGGUUGUCAAAUAUUUCAUUAAGAAAAUAACAUAAUGUAUAUAAGUAUAUUGACAGGCAAAGCUACUACUAUAUAACAGCAUCAGCAACAGCAACAACAUUUACGUCAACAGCGCAGCAUAACAGCCAGUGGGUAUGAAUGAACGAUACAUGUACAUAUAUUUGUCUUAAGGACGCUUUGAAAUAUCUCAAAUUUGAAAUUACAAUAAAAAAUAUUGUACGUAAAGUUCUGUCAUUUUCGACACUCAAAAUAUUUACUAAAGAUAUUUUCUUACUCGGUAUUCAUUUUCAGAACCACCUAAUAAGUUUCCAUGCAAUGUACUAUCGAAAGAGGUGUCUCCGUGGCCGAGUGGUUAAAGUCGCUGACUUCAAAUCACUUGCCCGUCAUCGAUGUGGGUUCGAGCCUCACUCGGGGCGUACAAUUCUUCAUGUGAGGAAGCCAUCCAGUUGGCGUACGGAAGGAGCUGAGAAAAUGUUUAGAAUACCACAAGACAAGGCCAGUAACUCUACACAUGUUAGGAGGCAGAAAACAGACAAGUUAUUUGAACACCAUUGGUCGCAUAUGAUGGAUUUCGUCCAUGACAAUACCUUUUCCCUCGUAUCCUGCUUUGCUUUGUAGCUAGAGUAAACACGCAGGUGUAGCAGACAGAGUUGAAGGGACAUGUGUUCAAAAUAUGACAUUCAAAGCGCAAAGCCAGAGAAGUUCA